AUGGAAAUAACAAUACUCCAAUUUAGAUAUGUGUACUUAAACAUGACAAUGCAUUAUUAAUUGGCCCGGCAAUAAUCAUCGCCAGGCAACCCUAAAAAAUUAUCUAGACUCAUUAGAGUGCUCCUUUCCACGGAAAUCUUUAGUAAAAGGCGAAAGAUUUAUUCGACAUAUGAGAAGAAGCCAGAGUGAAUUUAACAACUCAACCACAAGGGUAAGCCAGUAAGCAAACUUGAACUACUUGGAAAUCAUAACCGAAGGAUUUCAUGAAUUCGUUCCUUAAGGUAGGCUACAUUUAAUUUGAAGAAUUUCUUUACUAUGUAGAGUCUACGUCCUUAAUGAGUAUGAGGUUUGGCCUGAAUGAGUUUACCCUAAAGUGUGUUGUGGUAUUUUAUGGCUUUACUGGUUCAACUAAAAAAAAAUCUAGUGACUGCUGAAGAAAUACCACCGCAGGAUCUCCUAACUUCGCAUAACUUGCAAUUUUUUGGGCAAUAUUAAGCUUACUAAAAGUUGUUUUUAAUGUCAUUAAUUCAAUUUAAAUACAGUCUAUACUCGCACGUAAAGCAGGUUUAAUCUUAACAAUUCGUCUGAGUUGUAAACCAAGCUAAAUUUGUAAUCAAUAUAUAUAUUUUUUUUUUUUUGAUCACAGUCUGACAAGUAAAACUGGUUUAAAACUCUCACCAUCACUCUGCUCAAUAAUAUUAGCUAAGUUUAAUGAUCUUUGGCCGGUAUUCUUUAGAAAUGGUGAUUCAUAUUUGUAUGCAUAUUUAAAUACAGCAUGUGGCAAGACUUCAAAAAAGUAUAAAUCGGACCGGUUCAUUGGAUAUCACUCCAGUUUAUAAAUUUUGCCACGAAAUGCGUCUCUUACUUGUCACCAGUUUUGUUAUUGUUCUUUAUACUCUUUGUUGUGAAAAUUGCUUUCUAAAUGCAUAUAACAUCGAAUCACCACCGUUAACCGAUGGUGAUAAGGAGAUAAUUGGAAAAUUGAAAGCAUGGUAUAACGAUGAGACACACCAUUUAAGACUAGAGCGCAAUGAGACCUUAUACACAUUGGCGAAGUCAAUUAUGGUCCACAAGAUUGCUGACAAUAAGUUUCUUGAAUGGGCAAAAGUAUUGGUCAAUGAGUUUGAUCCCGAUGUCAGGCAACUUGCUGAACAUGCUUUAGACCAACGUCGUGUGGAGUCUUUUAAAAGUGCAUAUAUAUUCAAACGAUUCUAUUCUAUAUAUCUAUCAAAAACAAACACUGAAAAAAGAUAUAUGUUCAAUACAUGGACAAACGGCGAGUUCGAGAAUAUCUUUAACGCUUAUCAUAACAGGCUAGAGGCUUCUGUGAAAGAAUUUGAGGACCUAAUGAAUAAGUCAGUAAAAAAUCUAAGCAAUCAAACAAAA